rnacentral:rRNA from 1 species
AUUGAACGCUGGCGGCAUGCUUUACACAUGCAAGUCGAACGGUAACAGGCCGCAAGGUGCUGACGAGUGGCGAACAGGUGAGUAAUGCAUCGGAACGUGCCCAGUCGUGGGGGAUAACUACUCGAAAGAGUAGCUAAUACCGCAUACGAUCUAUGGAUGAAAGCGGGGGACCGUAAGGCCUCGCGCGAUUGGAGCGGCCGAUGUCAGAUUAGGUAGUUGGUGGGGUAAAGGCUCACCAAGCCAACGAUCUGUAGCUGGUCUGAGAGGACGACCAGCCACACUGGGACUGAGACACGGCCCAGACUCCUACGGGAGGCAGCAGUGGGGAAUUUUGGACAAUGGGCGCAAGCCUGAUCCAGCAAUGCCGCGUGCAGGAAGAAGGCCUUCGGGUUGUAAACUGCUUUUGUACGGAACGAAACGGCUCUGGUUAAUACCCGGGGCUAAUGACGGUACCGUAAGAAUAAGCACCGGCUAACUACGUG